CGAGUGCAUCGAGACUUAGAACGACAGAAAGCUGAGCUAGUUGAUAUGCAAUGGCAAGCCCUUCCAUGUGUUCCAAAGACAAAGCCUACGCCUAGCCACAGCAGCUCCCUCAUACAGACUCCGCAAGCCAAGAGGCCGUGGAGGCAAAUGCAGGCAGCCAGCACACCUCGAACAGCCACCUUGACUGCGGGUGUGUCACCCUAGUCGCCAAGGAAACAUUUGAGGGAAAGCGACAGGCAAUGUGAACAGCCACUUCUCCAUGUAAACGAUACUCUUUCUCUCGGAUGACUCCUACGCCUCGCCAUGCCAGCACUCUUGUGCACAAAGAUGCCGCGGAGGCACAUGCAGGUCAGAGGCAAGAAGCAGUGGCACUGGUGUCGACAUUCACCCAAUUUCUUUUUCUUACACUGAGGCAGCCAGCACACCUCGAACAGCCACCUUGACUGCGGGUGUGUCAGUAGAUUCCUGUUGUACAUAUGCUCAUAAUAAACUUCAGUAAACUUGAACUUGAUAAUAAACUUGAUGGCAAAUGG
rnacentral:lncRNA from 1 species